rnacentral:tRNA from 1 species
UCCCUGGUGGCUCAGACAGUAAAGCAUAUGCCUGCAAUGCAGGAGAUCCGGGUUUGAUUCCUGGGUUGGGAA